rnacentral:rRNA from 1 species
UGGCGGCAUGCCUAAUACAUGCAAGUCGAGCGAACAGAUGAAGUGCUUGCACUUCUGACGUUAGCGGCGAACGGGUGAGUAACACGUAAGGAAUCUACCUAUAAGCGGGGGAUAACAUUCGGAAACGGGUGCUAAUACCGCAUAAUAUCUUCUUCCGCAUGGAAGAAGAUUGAAAGACGGCUCUGCUGUCACUUAUGGAUGACCUUGCGGUGCAUUAGUUAGUUGGUGGGGUAACGGCCUACCAAGACGAUGAUGCAUAGCCGACCUGAGAGGGUGAUCGGCCACAUUGGGACUGAGACACGGCCCAAACUCCUACGGGAGGCAGCAGUAGGGAAUCUUCCGCAAUGGGCGAAAGCCUGACGGAGCAAUGCCGCGUGAGUGAAGAAGGCCUUCGGGUCGUAAAACUCUGUUAUAAGAGAAGAACAAAUUGUAGAGUAACUGCUACAGUCUUGACGGUAUCUUAUCAGAAAGCCACGGCUAACUACGUGCCAGCAGCCGCGGUAAUACGUAGGUGGCAAGCGUUGUCCGGAUUUAUUGGGCGUAAAGGGAGCGCAGGUGGUUUCUUAAGUCUGAUGUGAAAGCCCACGGCUUAACCGUGGAGGGUCAUUGGAAACUGGGAAACUUGAGUACAGAAGAGGAAUGUGGAACUCCAUGUGUAGCGGUGGAAUGCGUAGAUAUAUGGAAGAACACCAGUGGCGAAGGCGACAUUCUGGUCUGUUACUGACACUGAGGCUCGAAAGCGUGGGGAGCAAACAGGAUUAGAUACCCUGGUAGUCCACGCCGUAAACGAUGAGUGCUAGGUGUUGGAGGGUUUCCGCCCUUCAGUGCCGCAGUUAACGCAUUAAGCACUCCGCCUGGGGAGUACGACCGCAAGGUUGAAACUCAAAGGAAUUGACGGGGACCCGCACAAGCGGUGGAGCAUGUGGUUUAAUUCGAA